rnacentral:rRNA from 2 species
GGUCUCCGUAGGUGAACCUGCGGAGGGAUCAUUACACAAAUAUGAAGGCGGGCUGGAACCUCUCGGGGUUACAGCCUUGCUGAAUUAUUCACCCUUGUCUUUUGCGUACUUCUUGUUUCCUUGGUGGGUUCGCCCACCACUAGGACAAACAUAAACCUUUUGUAAUUGCAAUCAGCGUCAGUAACAAAUUAAUAAUUACAACUUUCAACAACGGAUCUCUUGGUUCUGGCAUCGAUGAAGAACGCAGCGAAAUGCGAUAAGUAGUGUGAAUUGCAGAAUUCAGUGAAUCAUCGAAUCUUUGAACGCACAUUGCGCCCUUUGGUAUUCCAAAGGGCAUGCCUGUUCGAGCGUCAUUUGUACCCUCAAGCUUUGCUUGGUGUUGGGCGUCUUGUCUCUAGCUUUGCUGGAGACUCGCCUUAAAGUAAUUGGCAGCCGGCCUACUGGUUUCGGAGCGCAGCACAAGUCGCACUCUCUAUCAGCAAAGGUCUAGCAUCCAUUAAGCCUUUUUUUCAACUUUUGACCUCGGAUCAGGUAGGGAUACCCGCUGAACUUAAGCAU